AACGAACGCUGGCGGCAUGCCUAACACAUGCAAGUCGAACGAAGCCUUCGGGCUCAGUGGCGCACGGGUGCGUAACGCGUGGGAAUCUGCCCUCAGGUACGGAAUAACUCAGGGAAACUUGAGCUAAUACCGUAUAAUGACUUCGGUCCAAAGAUUUAUCGCCUGAGGAUGAGCCCGCGUCGGAUUAGCUAGUUGGUGAGGUAAAAGCUCACCAAGGCGACGAUCCGAGCUGGUCUGAGAGGAUGAUCAGCCACACUGGGACUGAGACACGGCCCAGACUCCUACGGGAGGCAGCAGUGGGGAAUAUUGGACAAUGGGCGAAAGCCUGAUCCAGCAAUGCCGCGUGAGUGAUGAAGGCCUUAGGGUUGUAAAGCUCUUUUACCCGGGAUGAUAAUGACAGUACCGGGAGAAUAAGCCCCGGCUAACUCCGUGCCAGCCGCCGCGGUAAU
rnacentral:rRNA from 1 species